AAUUAUAACGGUAAAUAGAGAGAGCAUUA
rnacentral:misc_RNA from 1 species